GACGAACGCUGGCGGCGUGCUUAACACAUGCAAGUCGAACGGAAAGGCCCUGCUUUUGUGGGGUGCUCGAGUGGCGAACGGGUGAGUAACACGUGAGUAACCUGCCCUUGACUUUGGGAUAACUUCAGGAAACUGGGGCUAAUACCGGAUAGGAGCUCCUGCUGCAUGGUGGGGGUUGGAAAGUUUCGGCGGUUGGGGAUGGACUCGCGGCUUAUCAGCUUGUUGGUGGGGUAGUGGCUUACCAAGGCUUUGACGGGUAGCCGGCCUGAGAGGGUGACCGGCCACAUGGGGACAGAGAUGCAGACCGGACGCAUGCGGGAGGCAGCAGUGGGGAGGGGUGGACGACGGGCGGAGGCCUGAUGCAGCCGCGCCGAGUGCGGGAGGAGGGGCGGCGGGUUGUAGACAGAUCUCGCCUGUGACGAGACGUGAGAGACGAGGAUGGGUAAAGACGCACCGGCUAACUACGUA
rnacentral:rRNA from 1 species